rnacentral:lncRNA from 1 species
UUCUCUACUCUCCCGGAUUGCACCUUCUUAGGAUGGAUGCAAAGCAGGAACUCAAAUGAUUGGCCUUGGUGUUUGGCCCUGAAGCAGUCAGAUAUGUGAGAUGAAAAUUUGAUUGAAGAAUGACUGUAUGAAAACUACAACUAUGCCUUCUGCCUUGUCUUCUGAAGCACCUCUGGAGUUCUGCUUUCUUCCACGUGACAGUAGCAUCGUUUCCUCCCACAAGAAGCAUCAUCUUCAUACCCUCCAAUUCUCUGCGCAUUUAUGGUAUGAAUCCCAGCCCACAGCUGGCCUGCAUGCAAGGCAACUGGUGUCCCUUCUAAAAUGCAGCCUCCAGAACGAAACACAAUGCUCAUCAGGGUGACAACCUGAAGUUCCUCACUUCUGGAAGAGCCGACAUGUUUGAAGCCAUUUCCAGUUAGAGAAAAACAAAAACACAAGCUAUUGCAGGGGAGUAAAAUGAUGAGAAAUAAAAUCUACAAAAAUGAUACGCUUUCAGAACAUGCCUAAGAAAGGCAUGUCUGUAUUAUGCCUUUGGGGAUAGAUUUGGUUGCUGAGAAGUGUAUUCUGAAUAACACGUGGUUUCUUGGUUCUUUAAGCAGGCUAUUACUUUCUCUGUUGCUUUCCUCUUGUUUUCUAGACUGUCUAAUGAAAUUCUUUUACAGAGGAAAAUUAGAAUAAUAUGACCAGAUAUGUUUUUUACAAACGAAAAUGGUGACAAGUUGAAAAUAUUUUUUCAACGACUGGAGUUUCAACUGGAGUUUCAAGCAGUGGUGUGAGCAUCUUAAGCAUGUCCUUCAGCACUUGGUGUGAAUGACAGCUGAUAGAGGUGAGGUAGACUGGCAAACUGCUGCCUGAGUCCAAGAUGGCUUUGAACCUACGCAGCUGGUGCUUUGGACCAUAAAGAGAAAUAAUUGCAUCUGCAGAGUUUUACGUGUGUUUCAUUUAAGAUUUGUAAGAGAGGAUAGUUUACUGUUCCCUUUUAAACUCUUGGGGUUCAGCUGCCUAUUAUAUAGACUCUUACUCCUUCUAUUUCUGGCACUUUUUCAACAUGGGAAGCCUUAUUUGCAUUUAAAUGUUAUAUACAGCGG